rnacentral:rRNA from 1 species
CCAUCAGAACUCCGCAGUUAAGCGUGCUUGGGCGAGAGUAGUACUAGGAUGGGUGACCUCCUGGGAAGUCCUCGUGUUGCACCAC